UGCAUCUUCCGACCGGCGAUCAGUAAGUGCACCAAACUUAUAUUGUCUCUUCAAAGGCUGCCACUUGAAUCUUUACAGUAAUGUCCACCUACAAGGAACCCCUGCAUGGCUGGGUGGA
rnacentral:pre_miRNA from 1 species